CCCCAUUGACCCCACUGACCCUCAUCGACCCCAUUGACCCCAAUGACCCCAUUGACCCCACUGACCCUCAUCGACCCCACUGACCCCAUUGACCCCAAUGACCCCACUGACCCCAUUCCCCCCAUUUGUCCCCAUGACCCCACAGACCCCAAAACCCAUCCUCACACGACCCCAAUGACCCCAUACCGCCCCCCCAGUGACCCUACAACCCCCCCACCCAUAUAAGCCCCCCAACCCCUCCUUGACCUUUGACCCCACGUGACCUUUGACCCCACGUGACCUUUGACCCCACAGAUUCCUCCGCCUGCGCCGCCACCCCGCACUGCCCCGCCCCAUUGUGGGGUUGUGUCGGGGUCUCCGGGGGGGGCCGGUCCUCAUCCUUUUAGGGGAUGGGCAGCUCUGGUUAUGGGGCCGGGGGACACCGCCACGACCCCUGCGGGCCGCCGUGUCCCCGACCCCAUUGGACCCCAACGACCUCAACCACCUUUAUGGGGACGGCGAGGACGCUUAUGGGGUCGACGCCCAUGGGGACGAUGCCUAUAGGGUCACUGACAACGGCGUCGAUGCCGACGGGGUGGCGGCGACCCCAUACAGCCUCCCAGGCUGCCCCAUAGCUUGGAGGGCGCUGCCGGGGGGGGGGUUCCUCUUAUGGGGUGGGAUGGAGAGGCUGCACCUCUGUCAUCUGGUGAGGGGGCAAUGGGGUCGCGGGGUUAUGGGGUCGGUGGGGGCUGUGGGGUCAAUGGGGGCAGAGGGGGUUAUGGGGUCAAUGGGGGCGAUGGGGUCAAUGGGGCGGUGGGGGCAGUGGGGAUAUUGGGGUCAUGGGGUUAUGGGGUCAAUGGGGUCAAUGGGGUCAGUGAGGGUAUUGGGGUCAUUGGGGUUAUGGGGUCAAUGGGGUCAGUGCGGGUAUUGGGGUCAAUGGGGACGUUGGGGUCACAGGGUUAUGGGG
rnacentral:lncRNA from 1 species